GAUAAAAGAUGCUUGGCUAAAGUCUAGUCUAUUUUAGGUAAUAGUCACCAAGCUUUACUCAACAAUUUUGAAUUCUUUGCUGUAAACUGGAAGUAUUCACUGUGAUAAGUAUACAUAUCUGCAACACUUUCAGCUGAUUUUAGUCCCUAAUUCUAGACCUUACCCAUUUUACACACACUAUUAGCUAAAUCGUGUUCCUGAGGCAUGGCUCUGAUUACUUUACUCUGGCUUUAGCCUUGGCCUCAUCCGUUAAAUUGAAACUGUUCACCAGACCUGUAUGCAUUAAAAAUUUUUUUAUUAGAAAAAUCAGUGUCUUGCUAGCCAUGUAUGAUAGCUAUCAAAUUGAUCAUUCUGUAAAUGGUAGCAAUAAGUGUAUCAACACUUUGACCUCCUCUGUGUCUAGUAACAUUUGCAUAUAGUACAACUGAGCACAUAGCACCAGAAUAUUGGAACAGAUGCUUCUCCAAAGCCAAGGGUUGCCUUACAUUUAGAGUGGGAAAAGAGGAAAAUGAGUUAGCAGAGGAGCAGCGGGGAGGGGGGUAAAUUACAGGACAUAAUUUGCUUCUAAAAAUUUGUGUUUCGUGUUGUAGUUAUAUAAUUAACUUUUCUAUUGUACUGAUUGACAGAUUUGGCACAGACAUCCUCUCAUUGUGAAUAUAUAUGAAUAUAUCAGAGUUUUGGACUCUGGGGUAUAUUUACAUAAACACAAGUAUUCUGAAAGCAUUGAUAACCACACUGGU
rnacentral:lncRNA from 1 species